GAAAUUGUCCAUUAGUUUCUGUUUAAGUAGGCAAUGAAGAUGAUGCUUCCACACAAAUUUGGUAGCCGCUAGCUAUUGAGCUCAUUGCUUGCAUUGUGAUGAAAAGAAUACAUGCUAUAAUUUUAUAACUUGUGCUUAAAUUCUCAAUUCGUGGCUAUUAUAAAACAAAUGUUGAGGAACUCUAACCAAUCCUUUCUGGGUUUUAUGCCUAGGCAUCGUGUAUUGUUAUUCUUAUAUGUGCAAUUCUGAACUGUUAACCAAAGAACUCUUUGCAGCAUUGUGAAGUUAUUAAUUUAAUAUGAAUCUGCUAAGAUAUGAUGCUCUUAAUCUUGCUUAGUUUGCCAAGUGUUCAGUUAUGGCCGAGUUGCUUGCUACUAGGUUCUAGUAUUCAGCAAGCAAAUAUACAUGAAAAAAAAA
rnacentral:misc_RNA from 1 species